rnacentral:misc_RNA from 1 species
GGAAGGAUCAUUACUGAAUUGUCAAACGGGCUGUUGCUGGUCCUCAAACGGGGACAGGUGCACGCUCUGUUUACACAUCCACUCACACCUGUGCACCCUCUGUAGUUUUACGGUCUGGGGGACCCUGUCUUCCUUCCGUAGUUCUACGUCUUUACACACACAC